GACGAACGCUGGCGGUGUGCUUAACACAUGCAAGUCGAACGGUGAGGCCCUUUCGGGGGUACACGAGUGGCGAACGGGUGAGUAACACGUGAGUAACCUGCCCUCAUCUCUGGGAUAACAGUCGGAAACGGUUGCUAAUACUGGAUAUGAGCUUGCAAGGCAUCUUGUGGGUUGGAAAGAUUUUUUUUGGUUGGGGAUGGACUCGCGGCCUAUCAGCUUGUUGGUGAGGUAGUGGCUCACCAAGGCUUCGACGGGUAGCCGGCCUGAGAGGGCGACCGGCCACAUUGGGACUGAGAUACGGCCCAAACUCCUACGGGAGGCAGCAGUGGGGAAUAUUGCACAAUGGACGGAAGUCUGAUGCAGCAACGCCGCGUGCGGGAUGACGGCCUUCGGGUUGUAAACCGCUUUCAAUUGUGACGAAGCUUUUCUGUGACGGUAGCAGUAGAAGAAGCACCGGCUAACUACGUG
rnacentral:rRNA from 1 species